rnacentral:rRNA from 1 species
CAGCCGCCGCGGUAAUACGAAGGGUGCAAGCGUUACUCGGAAUUACUGGGCGUAAAGCGUGCGUAGGUGGUGGUUUAAGUCUGCUGUGAAAGCCCUGGGCUCAACCUGGGAAUUGCAGUGGAUACUGGGUCACUAGAGUGCGGUAGAGGGUAGUGGAAUUUCCGGUGUAGCAGUGAAAUGCGUAGAGAUCGGAAGGAACAUCUGUGGCGAAGGCGACUACCUGGGCCAGCACUGACACUGAGGCACGAAAGCGUGGGGAGCAAACAGGAUUAGAGACCCCCGUAGUCCCUGUCUCUUAUAC